rnacentral:rRNA from 1 species
AGCAGCCGCGGUAAUUCCAGCUCCAAUAGCGUAUAUUAAAGUUGUUGCAGUUAAAAAGCUCGUAGUUGAAUUUUGGGUCUGGCCGGGCGGUCCGCCCUCUGGGUGAGCACUGUUCCGACGACGGGCCUAUCCUUCUGGUGAGUCGGCAUGUCCUUUGUUGGGUGUGUCGGGGAACCAGGACCAUUACCUUGAAAAAUUAGAGUGUUCAAAGCAGGCGUAUGCUCGGAUACAUUAGCAUGGAAUAAUGAAAUAGGACGCGUGGUGCUAUUUUGUUGGUUUCUAGAACCGCCGUAAUGAUUAAUAGGGAUAGUUGGGGGCAUUAGUAUUCAAUUGUCAGAGGUGAAAUUCUUGGAUUUAUUGAAGACUAACUUCUGCGAAAGCAUUUGCCAAGGAUGUUUUCAUUAAUCAAGAACGAAAGUUAGGGGAUCGAAGACGAUCAGAUACCGUCGU